rfam:Camelus ferus unplaced genomic scaffold scaffold1274, whole genome shotgun sequence.
GAGGGUAUAGCUCAAGUGGUAGAGUGCAUGCUUAGCAUGCACGAGGUCCUGGGUUCAAUCCCCAGUACCUCCU